AAAUUGAAGAGUUUGAUCAUGGCUCAGAUUGAACGCUGGCGGCAGGCCUAACACAUGCAAGUCGAGCGGUAGCACAGAGAGCUUGCUCUCGGGUGACGAGCGGCGGACGGGUGAGUAAUGUCUGGGAAACUGCCUGAUGGAGGGGGAUAACUACUGGAAACGGUAGCUAAUACCGCAUAACGUCGCAAGACCAAAGUGGGGGACCUUCGGGCCUCAUGCCAUCAGAUGUGCCCAGAUGGGAUUAGCUAGUAGGUGGGGUAACGGCUCACCUAGGCGACGAUCCCUAGCUGGUCUGAGAGGAUGACCAGCCACACUGGAACUGAGACACGGUCCAGACUCCUACGGGAGGCAGCAGUGGGGAAUAUUGCACAAUGGGCGCAAGCCUGAUGCAGCCAUGCCGCGUGUGUGAAGAAGGCCUUCGGGUUGUAAAGCACUUUCAGCGGGGAGGAAGGCGGUGAGGUUAAUAACCUCACCGAUUGACGUUACCCGCAGAAGAAGCACCGGCUAACUCCGUGCCAGCAGCCGCGGUAAUACGGAGGGUGCAAGCGUUAAUCGGAAUUACUGGGCGUAAAGCGCACGCAGGCGGUCUGUCAAGUCGGAUGUGAAAUCCCCGGGCUCAACCUGGGAACUGCAUUCGAAACUGGCAGGCUAGAGUCUUGUAGAGGGGGGUAGAAUUCCAGGUGUAGCGGUGAAAUGCGUAGAGAUCUGGAGGAAUACCGGUGGCGAAGGCGGCCCCCUGGACAAAGACUGACGCUCAGGUGCGAAAGCGUGGGGAGCAAACAGGAUUAGAUACCCUGGUAGUCCACGCCGUAAACGAUGUCGAUUUGGAGGUUGUGCCCUUGAGGCGUGGCUUCCGGAGCUAACGCGUUAAAUCGACCGCCUGGGGAGUACGGCCGCAAGGUUAAAACUCAAAUGAAUUGACGGGGGCCCGCACAAGCGGUGGAGCAUGUGGUUUAAUUCGAUGCAACGCGAAGAACCUUACCUGGUCUUGACAUCCACAGAACUUUCCAGAGAUGGAUUGGUGCCUUCGGGAACUGUGAGACAGGUGCUGCAUGGCUGUCGUCAGCUCGUGUUGUGAAAUGUUGGGUUAAGUCCCGCAACGAGCGCAACCCUUAUCCUUUGUUGCCAGCGGUUCGGCCGGGAACUCAAAGGAGACUGCCAGUGAUAAACUGGAGGAAGGUGGGGAUGACGUCAAGUCAUCAUGGCCCUUACGACCAGGGCUACACACGUGCUACAAUGGCAUAUACAAAGAGAAGCGACCUCGCGAGAGCAAGCGGACCUCAUAAAGUAUGUCGUAGUCCGGAUUGGAGUCUGCAACUCGACUCCAUGAAGUCGGAAUCGCUAGUAAUCGUAGAUCAGAAUGCUACGGUGAAUACGUUCCCGGGCCUUGUACACACCGCCCGUCACACCAUGGGAGUGGGUUGCAAAAGAAGUAGGUAGCUUAACCUUCGGGAGGGCGCUUACCACUUUGUGAUUCAUGACUGGGGUGAAGUCGUAACAAGGUAACCGUAGGGGAACCUGCGGUUGGAUCACCUCCUUA
rnacentral:rRNA from 1 species